AACGAACGCUGGCGGCAGGCUUAACACAUGCAAGUCGAGCGCAUCCUUCGGGGUGAGCGGCGGACGGGUGAGUAACGCGUGGGAACGUGCCCUCUUCUACGGAAUAGCCUCGGGAAACUGAGAGUAAUGCCGUAUACGCCCGCAAGGGGAAAGACUUAUCGGAGGAGGAUCGGCCCGCGUUGGCUUAGGUAGUUGGUGGGGUAACGGCCUACCAAGCCGACGAUCCAUAGCUGGUUUGAGAGGAUGAUCAGCCACACUGGGACUGAGACACGGCCCAGACUCCUACAGGAAGCAGCAGUGGGGAAUCUUGGACAAUGAGGGCAACCCUGAUCCAGCCAUGCCGCGUGAUCGAUGAAGGCCUUAGGGUUGUAAAGAUCUUUCAGCUGGGAAGAUAAUGACGGUACCAGCAGAAGAAGCCCCGGCUAACUCCGUG
rnacentral:rRNA from 1 species